UACGGAGGGUGCAAGCGUUGCUCGGAAUUAUUGGGCGUAAAGCGCGUGUAGGCGGUCUCUUAAGUCUGGUGUGAAAUCCCGAAGCUUAACUUCGGAACUGCAUUGGAUACUGAGAAACUAGAGGACGAGAGAGGGUGGUGGAAUUCUUGGUGUAGGGGUGAAAUCCGUAGAUAUCAGGAGGAACAUCAGUGGCGAAGGCGGCCACCUGGCUCGUAACUGACGCUGAGACGCGAAAGCGUGGGGAGCAAACAGG
rnacentral:rRNA from 1 species